UACAGAGGGUGCGAACGUUGCUCGGAAUUAUUGGGCGUAAAGCGCGUGUAGGCGGACUGUUAGGCCUGUCGUGAAAUCCCAUGGCUCAACCAUGGAAGGGCGGCUGGAACCGGCAGUCUAGAGUCCUGACGAGGGUGGCGGAAUUCCCAGUGUAGAGGUGAAAUUCGUAGAUAUUGGGAGGAACACCGGUGGCGAAGGCGGCCGCCUGGGAAGCGACUGACGCUGAGACGCGAAAAGCGUGGGGGAGCAAACAGGG
rnacentral:rRNA from 1 species